rnacentral:rRNA from 1 species
UACGGAGGUGGCAAGCGUUGUUCGGAAUUACUGGGCGUAAAGGGCGCGUAGGCGGCAUGGCAAGUCAGGUGUGAAAGCCCCGGGCUCAACUCGGGAACUGCAUCUGAAACUGCUGUGCUUGAGUCCUGGAGGGGGUAGUGGAAUUCCCAGUGUAGCGGUGAAAUGCGUAGAUAUUGGGAGGAACACCGGUGGCGAAGGCGGCUACCUGGACAGUGACUGACGCUGAGGCGCGAAAGCGUGGGGAGCAAACAGG